rfam:Prevotella sp. CAG:1031 genomic scaffold, scf6
GAGAGCCGGAUACGCUGAGAGGUGUAAGUCCGGUUCGGAGGCGAGCAUUUGGAAACCUGCCAUAGAAAUAUGAUAAGGCGCCGGGUGCUUAGCCUAC